UACGAAGGGGACUAGCGUUGUUCGGAAUCACUGGGCGUAAAGCGCACGUAGGCGGAUUCGUAAGUUAGGGGUGAAAUCCCGGGGCUCAACCUCGGAACUGCCUUUGAUACUGCGAUGUCUUGAGUCCGAUAGAGGUGGGUGGAAUUCCUAGUGUAGAGGUGAAAUUCGUAGAUAUUAGGAAGAACACCGGUGGCGAAGGCGGCCCACUGGAUCGGUACUGACGCUGAGGUGCGAAAGCGUGGGGAGCAAACAGG
rnacentral:rRNA from 1 species